rnacentral:rRNA from 1 species
AACGAACGCUGGCGGCAUGCCUAACACAUGCAAGUCGAACGAAGCCUUCGGGCUUAGUGGCGCACGGGUGCGUAACGCGUGGGAAUCUGCCCUUAGGUACGGAAUAACUCAGGGAAACUUGUGCUAAUACCGUAUGAUGUCGAGAGACCAAAGAUUUAUCGCCUAGGGAUGAGCCCGCGUAGGAUUAGCUAGUUGGUGGGGUAAAGGCCUACCAAGGCGACGAUCCUUAGCUGGUCUGAGAGGAUGAUCAGCCACACUGGGACUGAGACACGGCCCAGAUCCUACGGGAGGCAGCAGUGGGGAA